UUGACCUCGGAUCAGGUAGGGAUACCCGCUGAACUUAAGCAUAUCAAUAAGCGGAGGAAAAGAUCAUUACNCNAAGGAUACCUCGUGGUAUACCCCACCCGUGUCUAUCUACUCUUGUUGCUUUGGCAGGCGUGGUCUUCACUGUGGGCUCUGCCUGCAUGUGCCUGCAUAAGACAAACUCUGAAUUUUAGUGAUGUCUGAGUACUAUAUAAUAGUUAAAACUUUCAACACGCAUCUUGGGUUCGGUCUCAUAAAAAAAGCCGAAAGCAAUAAGUAAUGUGAAUUGCAAAAUUCAUGAAAUCCCAAUCUUUAACCAUUGCCCUUGGGAUUUUCCAGGGAGGUUGUUUCGCCUUUUAAAAAAAUUCCCCCCUUAAGGGUUGGGGGGUUUACAUUUUCCGCCUAAAAAAAAAGGGGGGGGCCGGGGGGGCCCUCGAAAAAAAAUUUUUUCCCUUUAAAACCCUAUAUAAAUUUUUCGGCAACCCCCUUUUUUUUCUUGGUUGACCCCGCAUAGGGGGGGGGAACCCUCUCAUUUAUUAAAAUUUAUUAACGAAAAAAAAAAAANUNUUUUGCGUUUUGUGUCCUUGCUCGGGCUUCUUAUUGUUAUUUUACGAUCUUUAAUCAUAUUUUACCUGCUUUUUACGUGUGGCUUAUGAUACAUCAUUUAUUCUUUUACUUGUUUUAUAUCCUUAUUUAGUAUUGCUAUCUGUUAUGUAAUUCCUAUUUCUGAUUUAAUUUUCGUUUAUUUUCAUCAUUUAAUGUUUAUUUGUAUUUUUGGAUUAGUUCUAUUAUUAGUAUUUAUGUAAUGAUGAUGUGAGUCUUUGUUAUGGAGCAAUUCGUUCAUUUUAAUUUGGUUAGGACCAAUUACAUGGUGAGAACGCGGUAGUGUUGCUUUCCUGCAAUAUGACGCGAUUACUUUUGUUCGA
rnacentral:rRNA from 1 species